UUAGUUCGUGGAGUGAUUUGUCUGGUUAAUUCCGUUAACGAACGAGACCUUAAUCUGCUAAAUAGACAGACCAACCUUUUGGUUGGAUCAUGAAACCUUCGGGUUUCCUGUCUUCUUAGAGAUACAGUUGGCUUUAAGCCAAAGGAAGUUUGAGGCAAUAACAGGUC
rnacentral:rRNA from 1 species